GCCACAGCAGCUCUCCUGUUGUGACAGUGAGCAGCCACGACAUUGAAGUGGAAGAAAGCCCUGCAGCUGGGCAGGGCAAAUUCCACACAAUCAUCGACUUUCCAUCUGACAGGCAAAAUCGACCAAGCAAGAAGGAGGAAUCACCCGCUAGCAGUUGGUGUUGCUGCUUCAGCCUCAGAAAGCCAUCCUCUGGCAGCAAACGCCAACUGCAGCGCAAUGCCAGGCAGCCCUCAGUAACAGCAGUGGUAGUCCUGGCAGGUGAAUUGAGCCCUUUCCAACCGACAAGAUCCAGGGCAAGUAGUGAGGAUGCUCUCUGUGCUUCCAUCAGUGGAGAGCUCUUAGGAAGCACAAAUUUCUGCAGUUCCAACAGCAGCCUUCCAUCUUACCACAUUAAUGGAGAGAAGGAGCUCAUCGAAGUCCAUGCUCUCAUUACACCUGGCUCUGCUGAAGUUGCUGACCUGUGCCUCCCAGACACCACAGUCACAAGUGUGGUUUGUAACGAGGAGUCUCUGCAGUGC